UGGACCUCGCCGCCGAGCGCCGCCGAGCGCCGCCGCCGGGUGGGAUCCCAGCCUCGCCGCCGCCGGAGAGGAAACGAUGGGGAUGUUCGGGCUGCAGUCCAGAGGCGCGGCGGCGGCGUGGUUGGUGGCUCCGAUGACGCAUCCAUCCAGGCACACUCUACGACGACCCCGAAGACGACAAGGUAGACGCGCAGGUGGUCAAGAAUGUGGCGGCGCAGUCGCUGGAGGUCAAGAAGCUCGUCUACCUCUAGCUCCUCUCCUCCACUGCGACGAGAAGCGCCAAAACGAAGCUCUUCUUUCUAUCAACAUAUUCCUGCAGGAUUUAUCGGACAUAAUCCCACUGCUGAGGUCUGAGGGCUUGGGCCCUUCGCACUAUCAAUUACAUGUUUCUGCCCACUUGCGUUGGUGGAUGUGAAGAAAUGUGCCAGGGAUCCAUCACCAUGUGUUAGGAAAUAUGAGGCAUAUGCACUCCGUAAGCUCUGUGACUUGCUUCCAGAGGAAAAUAUGACGUUGGAUGAUGUGCUCAGUGACAAUUCCUCUUGUGAUCCUGGCUCUGGGCCUCCACCAGAAAAAUCCAGUCCAGUUCUUGCCCGCACCUCCCUCAGUCCCCAGGGGCCAGUAUCUCCUCCCUUUGCCGUCAACACCUGGAGAAUCGGGGCCGCCGUGGCUCACCGUCCUGCCCAAAUGGCGUCAGUCCUGCUUUCCUAGCAGUGUGCAGCAGCUCAACAGCUCGCCUGAUCGUCAAGCCUUCCCCAGACCUCCGUCCCUACAGCUCUCUGCCUCAACACACUUCACCUCUUGCAAAGUUUGAUUGAAACAUCCCGAUGCCAAUGUUCAUGUUGUAGUAUAUUUCAGCAGAUGGAUCGAUUGAUUCAUUCUCUAGGUUUUUCUGCCUUAUAAUCU